rnacentral:rRNA from 1 species
UGGGGAAUUUUGGACAAUGGGCGAAAGCCUGAUCCAGCAAUGCCGCGUGUGUGAAGAAGGCCUUCGGGUUGUAAAGCACUUUUGUCCGGAAAGAAAUCCUUGGCUCUAAUACAGUCGGGGGAUGACGGUACCGGAAGAAUAAGCACCGGCUAACUACGUGCCAGCAGCCGCGGUAAUACGUAGGGUGCAAGCGUUAAUCGGAAUUACUGGGCGUAAAGCGUGCGCAGGCGGUUUGCUAAGACCGAUGUGAAAUCCCCGGGCUCAACCUGGGAACUGCAUUGGUGACUGGCAGGCUAGAGUAUGGCAGAGGGGGGUAGAAUUCCACGUGUAGCAGUGAAAUGCGUAGAGAUGUGGAGGAAUACCGAUGGCGAAGGCAGCCCCCUGGGCCAAAUACUGACGCUCAUGCACGAAAGCGUGGGGGAGCAAACAGGAUUCAGAUACCCUGGUAGUCCACGCCCUAAACGAUGUCAACUAGUUGUUGGGGAUUCAUUUCCUUAGUAACGUAGCUAACGCGUGAAGUUGACCGCCUGGGGAGUACGGUCGCAAGAUUAAAACUCAAAGGAAUUGACGGGGUCAUA